AUCAUUAACGAGUUAGGGUCCCUCGCGGCCCGACCUCCCCAACCCUUUGUCUACCUGACCACUGUUGCUUCGGCGAGCCCGUCUGUAAUGGACCGCCGGGGGGUACCUUGAUCGGCCCUCUGGUCCGCGCUCGUCGAUAGCCAAACUUUUAAAAUCUUAACCAAACGUGUCUCAAUCUAAGUAUUAUUUGUUAAAUAAAAGCAAAACUUUCAACAACGGAUCUCUUGGUUCUGGCAUCGAUGAAGAACGCAGCGAAAUGCGAUAAGUAAUGCGAAUUGCAGAAUUUCAGUGAGUCAUCGAAUCUUUGAACGCACAUUGCGCCCUUUGGUAUUCCGAAGGGCAUGCCUGUUCGAGCGUCAUUAUCACCCCUCAAGCCCCCGGCUUGGUGUUGGACGGUUUGGUGGAGGCCCCCUCGCGGGGCCACCGCCCCUCCCAAAGACAAUGACGGCGGCCUCGUUGGACCCCCGGUACACUGAGUUCUUCACGGGACACGUAUCGGACACAUGGGUUUACGGGACACGGUCUGCCUCCCCUCAGGGAGAAUCUUUCUAAGGUUGACC
rnacentral:rRNA from 1 species